rnacentral:rRNA from 1 species
UACGAAGGGGGCUAGCGUUGCUCGGAAUCACUGGGCGUAAAGCGCACGUAGGCGGCUUUUUAAGUCAGAGGUGAAAUCCUGGAGCUCAACUCCAGAACUGCCUUUGAUACUGGAGUGCUUGAGUCCGGGAGAGGUGAGUGGAACUGCGAGUGUAGAGGUGAAAUUCGUAGAUAUUCGCAAGAACACCAGUGGCGAAGGCGGCUCACUGGCCCGGUACUGACGCUGAGGUGCGAAAGCGUGGGGAGCAAACAGGG